rnacentral:lncRNA from 1 species
ACUAAUGUUGGGAAAAUGUGGUUCUAUGUUAUAAAUAGAAAAAUGAACGAUAGAAACAAUAUAUGAAUUCACACAUGGCCAUGUGCGAAAAUAACACAUCUCAACUAAUCUAUUUUUCCAAACCAUGCAAUUAUCAAUGAGCUAAAGAUUUUUUUGUAAAACUUUACAGAAGCUGUCCUUAUAUUCAUUUUCAGUAUAAUACGUUUAUGCUACACUUAGCCUUAUUACUUUGGGAGAACUUGUACAUAGUUUUAAACGACCUCUUACUAAAAAAGAAAGGAAAACUUACAAAGAAAGGAAGAAGAAAAAAUGACCUACCACUAAUGACAAACUAAAACUAGCCAUAAGACCUAAUGAAAAACAGCAGCUCCUUUAGCCCGCUUUCGAUCCAGCAUCCUCCUUCGGCAAGAAUACCGGUCAACACCAUUGUCACCGACGUCACCUCCCCCCUGAAAACCCUAUUGUUCCAUUCUAACCAAAUUUUACAAAUCAUGAGCAUGAUCAAGCAGUCAAAACCUUUUCGGAUCGCUUUGCGAUCCUUUUCUAACCUUGUAACCACCACGAC